AAUAAGUGCAGUUUUGCACUAUUUACGUUCAACGUUUGACCGUUCGUCUUAUUUGAAAAUUUUUUAUUAUUAGUAUUUUAAUUGCUAUUAGAUGAUAAAACAUAAAUAGUACUUUAUGUGUGACUAAAUAUUUUCAAAUUUUUCGCAAUUUUUUCAAAUAAGACUGACGGUUAAACGUUGGACACGGAUAUCCACGGCUGUAUUUAUU
rfam:Oryza rufipogon genomic scaffold, chr03